rnacentral:rRNA from 1 species
GACGAACGCUGGCGGCGCGCUUAACACAUGCAAGUCGAGCGAAGCGGCGGACGGGUGAGUAACACGUGAGUAACCUGACUUAGACAUUGGGAUAGCCUCGGGAAACCGGGAUUAAUAUCAAAUGGUCUAAGAUGGACUCGCGUCCCAUUAGCUGGUUGGUGAGGUAACGGCCCACCAAGGCGACGAUGGGUAGCCGGCCUGGGAGGGUGGACGGCCACAUUGGAAGUGGGAAACGGUCCAAACUCUGCGGAAGGCAGCAAGGGGGAAUGUGGCACGAUGGAGGGAACUAUGAUGCAGCGAGGCCGCGAGAACGAAGAAGGCUUGCGGGACGUAAAGAUCUUUUAUAUGGGAAGCGGUACCAUAAGAAAAAGCCCCGGCUAACUACGUGCCAGCAGCCGCGGUAAUUC